AAGUAAAGACUGUAUACCAAUUUAAUUAUAUAUUGUAUACCAAUAGUAAAGAUUCUAUACCGAAGACUGUAUACCAAUAGUAAAGAUUCUAUACCGUGAGGGACAUUCCCAGGAAACCAUUAUGAAUCUUAUAGCUGGGUUUGUGUACAUAUCUACCUUUAAGAGUAAAAUGCUGAUAUAGAUAGGUUCGAAAUGAAUUGUCUAAUAGUAAGAUGGAAGGUUGAGUGCCUAGCUCUUGACACCAGCAGAGACUGUGGAUUCUGUGAUGGCCAAAGCAUCAUAGCACAGCUAAAAACCAAACAACUGGUGUUCAAGGAGCAUUUAGAUGUUGUACUAAGGGACAAGGGAGAUACUGGUGGUAGGUGGACAGCUGGACUGGAUGAUCUUGGAGGUGUUUCCAACCCUGGCAAGUCUAUGAUUCUAACUAAAAACAUGAUAAGUGGUACUGAGGCAGAUAUUAAAGAAAUUGGCUUUAAGGUCUCUGACUGUGAAUGGGGAUUGGGUCUCUUUUAUUUCUACUGCUUUUAAAUUUUUAAUUCAUACACAAUGCACUGAUAGGUGAAGAAUUUCCUAAUUUAUUUUAGAAAACUUAAAGUGUGGUCAGCCAGGACUAUUCUAUUGGAGGAAAGAAAAGGUGAAAUAACAUUUCCCCAGAACAGAAACAAACAGAAAUCUGAAAGUAGAAAGAUAUAGAAGUAUUUGAGAAAAACAUAAAAUACUGAGGCUUGGAUAACUCUUAUAAAGCAGAAGAUGCCUGCUAAAGGUGUUGGAUCCAUUACUACUGGAGUGAGAACAAUGCUCUGUAUGGCGUAGAUGUCCCUUAUCAGUGCUUACAGUGUAUUUCUUAAGGUAUAAAUUUUUAACAGAAGCUCAAGCUGCAAUAAAUCUUAAAAGGUAAGCAACAAGAUUUGUGACUCCCUAACAACAUUCCCCAUUGACCCUGAAGAUUUCUUGACUGGAAGCUGAUGGAGAAUUAAAGCUGCUUUAAAAAUAGCACUGACUGCCUUCACUUGCUCUCCUCCAUGGGAGAAUUCUGCCAGCGGUGGCUAAAGGAUGAGGGAAAGCGGUAAGAGACGGAUAUUCUUUGUUCCAAAAAUCCUUUGUGCCACUAGGGCAGAGGUUUCUGUUCAUAAUUUAAGGCCCUGCUAAGAAGUGUGGUAGAGUGUUAACGCUUCUGUGGUUUUAACAAAGCCUAUUAAAAUCAUGUUUGCAUAUAACUGAUUUCUGAUGUUUUUCAGAAGUACCUUUCCAAGUGAAGACAAUCCUUUCAUGGAAACAAACAAAACAUCCACUUAGAGAGAGUUUUCUGUAAAUAUAUGCUAAGAUGUUGCCACAUUAUAAACAAUUAUACUGGAUAACUGAUAGUUUUAUACAUAACCAAUGCUCUGACAGAGCUAUACGGAAAUUGAACAAAACCUGUCAGGAAGUAAACAGAAGCAACUGUUUCAUCACAAUAGAAAACUGAACAAGAUAUGUUUAGCUCAUAAGGGUAACCUAACAUUUGAGCUGCUGAAGUAUGAUUUGAUAGAGCUGAUUUUGAUUUCAAAUGAAUAACUUAAAAUCUUUUAGAAGACUGCAUAUGUAGAUGAACUCUCAGUCUAAACAUUUGGCUAAAAACAGUCCACCUCAGAAGAGAGGUGGGUGUGAGUGCACCAAACACCUGGUUUUGAAAGCAAAUUGCUUUGUUAAAUUAUGGAUUUGUUAUUGAAUAUAAUAUACAUAUUUUACAAAUGUAUAAGUUCCUACUAUUUAAUACUUUGAAUUGAUGUUAAGGAGAGAUCUUCAUAAGAGGCAAAAACACCUAGAAUUCAGUUGUAAAAAUGCCUCUUGUGCCAGUUAUCUCCAGGACUUGUUCCAUUUGUCUUGAGGAGGCUGAGUGGUGUGUGUAAGUCCAUCAGUUUCAAGGGAUUUAGAAUAACAGAACCCAAGUUAGAAUGGACCCCAAAGCUGGUCCAAAAAACAGGUUGUUUCAGUGAAGACUGCAUAUGUGUAUAUACUUGAAGCAUACAAAACAUUUAGAAACAUUAGGGCAAAAAAAACCAACAAAUAUUUCUUUAAUGUGGCCUGAACUCAAGAUACCUUUUCUUCUUCCUAGGGUUGUUGAAAUAAGAAACUUGAUCUCUAGGAAACCUGAUUUUUAGGAUGCCACCAUGGUGGCAGAGGAAAUCAAAGUCUGCUGGUGUGGAAAAUUUGUAUUUGUUGUACUUUGUUUCUCUGUUUCUGGUGGUAGAGGAAAAAAAUCAGUCAAUACCUAAAUCCAAACGUGGAUCCAAAUCUUAGAAAAUUAAGUUGCAUCCUCUGAGAUUUUUCUUUUUUCUUCUGUAAAAGGUAAAUAUUAGGAAAAUAUCCUUCUGUAAUUAAGCUAACUGGAGUUCUGUAGAUGGAAAACACAAGAGAGACUUGAGCCAAUGGGAAACUAGUUGCAACAAGUCGCAGUAGGCUUUGUAUUUGUUCCUCGAAGUGCAAAACACAGCUAUUAGUUGCCUGUAAAUGGAAACAGAACUUGUGACAGGGAGUUAAAAUCAUCAGCUAAUUCACAGGUCACUUUAAGACCAAUUUUAAGGGUAAACAGGACUCACGGGCUCAGAGAUGUCUCCAGAAUAGUGAACAAUUUAUUCUGAGCUCUGAUUUUCAGGAGAGAAAGAUGCAGCAAGCAGGUUCUUUAUGGUAAUAUGUAUUUUAUGUUUCCUAUGGUAUAUGAAACACGAGAUUCUUUAUUAUUUUGAAUUAUUGAACAUCAUUUAAAUUCAUAUGGAAACAAAGAUUAUUUCCCAAAGCAUUUAUUUUCUGAGCUGACUGAGCCAUUUCUCUUGACAUGUAUCAAGCUGAUUGAAAGAGAACAUUGAAAAUGAAACCUCUGCAAUUUCAUAUACCAAGAUUAGAGGCAGAACAAAUAAUGCAAUGCAAUGUAAUCAAAAUUAGAAGAGAUUUUCACCUGAGACUAGGCCAGCAGAUGGCAAAUAUAGUUCAAUGUAGAGAAAUGUAAGAUAAUUAAAGUUGAAGUUAGGAACUAAUCUGGGGGAUACAUGCUAAAUGGAGCAAUCAUCCAGCACGGUGAUCAAGAAAAAGAUUUGGGGAUUAUUCUGGAAGAAAUUAUUGAAACCACGAUCCUGUUGAACAGUAUCAGUAAAAUAGACAAAUUUCAUAUUUGGUUGUAAAACAAAGUGUGAAGAUAUAAGAUCGAGGAAGGGGAUAGCAGACACUGCUGAAGCUACUGAAAUUCACUGGCCUCAUCAGGGCAGAGGAGAGGUGGAGGAUCACCUCCCUUAUCUUGCUGGCAAUGCUAUUCCUAAUGUACUCCAGGUUGCCAUUGGCCAUGUCAGCCAUGAAGGCACACUUCUGGCUCAGGGUCAGCACAGUGCAAUAUGUUUAUUAAAAUGAGAGCAAACUGCCCUAGUCUCCUUUGAUUACUGUCUUUUAAAUUUAUUCUCACAUCCAGACAAGGGGGAUGUUUUUGCAGUGAUAUGAACUGUCGGAAAAAGCAUUGUGCUUGCUGACAUUUUCCAUUCAUGAUCCUGUGAAUAAGGACUUCAGUGAUGUGUCUGUUCUUUUGAUGUUUUUUGAGGAGCUGGAUCUAAAGUUCAUUAUACUCUGAAAGAAUAUUUGCACUGAUGUGCCAUGAGUAGAUUGAUCAUAUGUGUUUGUUUGUUCCAGCUGCUGGGGGAAAUUUGUACGCUGCUAGAAAACUAUUUAUGUGCAUGGUUUAAGGCACCUCUGGAAGUCUGAUCAUGUAUGAAUUUCUACUUGAGACUCUCCUCCCGUGUAACUUCAUGAUUGUUAUACAGACUGUUGUUCUCAGGUUUUUGUGGAGGCAACCUGAUAUGAUUUUUCAAUGUUUCUGUUAAAUACCUGUAACAAAACCCUCUAGAGCAUCAGGGACUGGAGGAAUUUACAGAUUGAAUUUGAGAGCCUCUCAGCAAAAGAUUCCAUGAUUUCUUUAAAAUGUUGCACCUUAUUUUACCUGAUUGCUCAAGUAGCUAUUUAUAUUCCCAAGACUUUGCCACAGGUGUAUUUAUGAAAACUUUAAAGCUUAUCUGAAAAUAAGAAUAAUUGCUGACGGGGUACAUGCAAAAACUCAUUCUGUCUGAAGUAGUUCUACACUCUUAGUAGGUUCUCUUUUGAGAACCUACUAAGUGUGGUGGUUGGUACCAGGUUUUGGUUUUGUACUGUAUUAAGCAACUUUUUUGUCUUUGUCUGACCCUCAGUUGUCUCUGAUUACAGAACAGCACUCUGUAUCUGAGCAAACUGAACUACACAAAUAUUCUGAGAGGAAGGACAGAACAGUUCAAAGUUCUUCCAGAGAGAUCAUGUGCCAGAAACUGCAAGAACACUCAGAAAUUUUAAAUGGCACUUCAUUGUUUAAUAUAUAAACACGGGAAGAAGGAAAACAGUCAUAGAAGUCUUAUAUAAAAUAACAUCUUGCUUGACUCUGUUGGUAUAUCUAGCUAGUUUUCAGUUAACUCACACAGAGGAAGCCAAGUGUAAAACUGCCCUCCAUCUAAAAAUAAGCACAAUUGAUAGUUGUUUCAACAGUACCUGAGCAAAAGGAGAAAAUUCUGCUGAGUUUGUCUUGCAUGAAGAAGAAACCCAACCAUGCGUUUUAAUACUGCAAUUAUACUGCGGGAUGGGUGAAUUCUUCAGUGUGUCCUGGGGAUCCUGAAAGGUCUGGUGAAGGAACUGAAGUGUUCUUUUGCUGAUGUCCUCCACCAUACGGUCCUGGACCUCUCUCCUGCUGAGGCCAAGAUGACCACUGAAAUCAGCAAGAUCCUUUCUGCUGACUUUGCUGAAACUGGAAUCAUGCUAUUAAUAGAUAAUGUAAUGUUGUGAGAAAAACUUCAGUAUAUCAGGAAGAACAGCUUAAACAUUUGAAAACUUGUGUUUCUGCUUAAACCCAUCGGUAAACUGAAACUAUUGGUAGUUACAAGGAGUAGGGCAAAAUGAACCCUAUGUAAACACCCAGAAAUACGCAAGUAAAUGGAGAUCUUUGCAUUCUUGAACACCUGCAAGCAGCAAAAACAUCUAUGAAAGGACUCGAGUGUGAGCACACAGCUCUUAGCGUUGGAACUUUUUCCAAUGCAGUCUGGCUUUCUGAAGGGGUAGAAGUUGCAAGUAUUGUUGUUAGUAGUAAUUGCAUGGUAGACUGUUCAGCUGGAAAUCUUUUUGCCCUGAGCUUCUAAUUGGACAUCUAGAGGUGGCUUUCCUCUAUUAUGUGUUCUCCUGUCACAUGUCCUGUCAGCUUACGCUAGAAAGUGUCCCUUCUGGUAGACAACAAGCUCAAGGCUUGUAAAGUAAACACAAUCAAUACUAACGUUAUGGUAUUCCACAAGUCAACUCCCUUCAUUCGGAACUGCUUCUUGUCUCCCUGACCUGCUCUGUAACCUGGAAAUGUCCCAUGAGAAGGACAUCUUGGAAAUGGGCCUAUGCUCUUUGGCAAUCUUUGCUGGAUUUUGCUGAAGCAGAAGGCUCUCAGAAUGAAAGGAGAGCUCAAGAAGUCCCUGUAACACCUUUGGAUGAAAUGGAUUCUGAAAACAAAAUAGGACAAAAUUGUUAUGAGAAGACAAAGUAAGAAGCCCAUCUGUCACCAGAUAGGAUUUCCUUCGCUUACAUCUGAGAGAAAACUUUGGCUUUCUGGAGGUCUGGCUGGGAGUUGGAAGAACAAAAGCACAUCAGAGUAAAGCCCACAACAAAUAUUUAAUUCAGUAUUUUAUAUUGGGAUGAGCAGAAAGGAUGGUGACUCUUAAACUGCAAAACUUCAGACUGGAUCAAGUGCAAAGAUGCUGAUUUAAGCACUGACUGAAAGCUUUGCCUGUUCUGAUGACUCUGAAAAAAAUCUCUAAAUAAAAAAACACAUAUAUUUCA